ACGCUGGCAGCAUGGAUUAGGCAUGCAAGUCGAACGAGACUCCGGGCUUCGGCCCGGAUGACAGUGGCGCAAGGGUGAGUAACACGUGAGUAAUCUGCCCCGAAGUCCGGGAUAGCCCAUGGAAACGUGGAUUAAUACCGGAUGUGGCUGUAUGAACUGCGGUUUUAACAGUUAAAGAUUCAUUGCUUCGGGAUGAGCUCGCGGUCCAUCAGCUUGUUGGUGAGGUAAUGGCUCACCAAGGCGACGACGGAUAGCUGGUCUGAGAGGAUGACCAGUCACACUGGGACUGAGACACUGCCCAGACUCCUACGGGAGGCUGCAGUCGAGAAUCUUCCGCAAUGGGCGCAAGCCUGACGGAGCAAUGCUGCGUGCCGGAUGAAGGCCUUCGGGUCGUAAACGGCUGUCACUCGGGACGAAUUUUGACGGUACCGAGAGAGGAAGCCACGGCUAACUACGUGCCAGCAGCCGCGGUAAUACGUAGGUGGCGAGCGUUAUUCGGAAUUAUUGGGCCUAGAGGGUUCGUAGGGGGUAAUGUAAGUCCGGUGUGAAAUCUCGAGGCUCAACCUCGAAACUGCAUUGGAAACUGCGUUACUUGAGUGUCAGAGAGGAAAGCGGAAUUCCUGGUGUAGCGGUGGAAUGCGUAGAUAUCAGGAAGAACACCGACGGCGAAGGCAGCUUUCUGGCUGACAACUGACCCUGAUGAACGAAAGCUAGGGUAGCGAACAGGAUUAGAUACCCUGGUAGUCCUAGCUGUAAACGUUGUGCACUGGAUGUGGGCGGAUUUGGUCCCGUCUGUGUCUGAGCGAAGGCGUUAAGUGCACCGCCUGGGGACUACGGCCGCAAGGCUAAAACUCAAAGGAAUUGACGGGGGCCCGCACAAGCGGUGGAGCAUGUGGCUCAAUUCGAGGCAACGCGAAGAACCUUACCUGGGUUUGACAUAUACCUGACCGCCGGUGAGAGCCGGUUUCUCUUUGAGCAGGUAUACAGGUGCUGCAUGGCUGUCGACAGCUCGUGCUGUGAAGUGUUCGGUUAAGUCCGGCAACGAGCGCAACCCACGCUGUUAGUUACCAUCAGGUGAAGCUGGGGACUCUAACAGGACUGCCCGUGCUAAGCGGGAGGAAGGCGUGGACGACGUCAA
rnacentral:rRNA from 1 species